AGGGCUAUAGCUCAGUUGGUAGAGCAACUCGUUUACAGGUCUACGGUUCGAGCCCGUAUAGCCCUA
rnacentral:tRNA from 1 species